rnacentral:rRNA from 1 species
GACGAACGCUGGCGGCGUGCUUAACACAUGCAAGUCGAACGGAAAGGCCCUGCUUUUGUGGGGUGCUCGAGUGGCGAACGGGUGAGUAACACGUGAGUAACCUGCCCUUGACUUUGGGAUAACUUCAGGAAACUGGGGCUACUACCGGAUAGGAGCUCCUGCUGCAUGGUGGGGGUUGGAAAGUUUCGGCGGUUGGGGAUGGACUCGCGGCUUAUCAGCUUGUUGGUGGGGUAGUGGCUUACCAAGGCUUUGACGGGUAGCCGGCCUGAGAGGGUGACCGGCCACAUUGGGACUGAGAUACGGACCAGACUCCUACGGGAGGCAGCAGUGGGGAAUAUUGCACAAUGGGCGGAAGCCUGAUGCAGCAACGCCGCGUGCGGGAUGACGGCCUUCGUGUUGUAAACCGCUUUCGCCUGUGACGAAGCGUGAGUGACGGUAAUGGGUAAAGAAGCACCGGCUAACUACGUG